UGGGGAAUAUUGGACAAUGGGCGCAAGCCUGAUCCAGCCAUGCCGCGUGAGUGAUGAAGGCCCUAGGGUUGUAAAGCUCUUUCACCGGUGAAGAUAAUGACGGUAACCGGAGAAGAAGCCCCGGCUAACUUCGUGCCAGCAGCCGCGGUAAUACGAAGGGGGCUAGCGUUGUUCGGAUUUACUGGGCGUAAAGCGCACGUAGGCGGACUAUUAAGUCAGGGGUGAAAUCCCGGGGCUCAACCCCGGAACUGCCUUUGAUACUGGUAGUCUUGAGUUCGAGAGAGGUGAGUGGAAUUCCGUGUGUAGAGGUGAAAUUCGUAGAUAUUCGGAGGAACACCAGUGGCGAAGGCGGCUCACUGGACCAUUACUGACGCUGAGGUGCGAAAGCGUGGGGAGCAAACAGG
rnacentral:rRNA from 1 species